ACGAACGCUGGCGGCGUGCUUAACACAUGCAAGUCGAACGAUGAUCCAGAGCUUGCUUUGGUGAUUAGUGGCGAACGGGUGAGUAACACGUGAGUAACCUGCCCUUGACUCUGGGAUAAGCGUUGGAAACGACGUCUAAUACCGGAUACGACAACCGAUCGCAUGGUCUGGUUGUGGAAAGAUUUUUUGGUUGGGGAUGGACUCGCGGCCUAUCAGGUUGUUGGUGAGGUAAUGGCUCACCAAGCCUACGACGGGUAGCCG
rnacentral:rRNA from 1 species